GACGAACGCUGGCGGCGUGCCUAACACAUGCAAGUCGAACGGAGAACUUAAGGAAUGCGACUUCGGUCAAAUGAAAUUUGUUCUUAGUGGCGGACGGGUGAGUAACACGUGAGCAACCUGCCUUUCAGAGGGGAAUAACGGCUGGAAACGGUCGCUAAUACCGCAUAAUAUACACUUUAGGCAUCUUUAGUGUAUCAAAGAUUUUAUCGCUGAAAGAUGGGCUCGCGUCUGAUUAGCUAGUUGGUGAGGUAACGGCCCACCAAGGCGACGAUCGGUAGCCGAACUGAGAGGUUGAUCGGCCGCAUUGGGACUGAGACACGGCCCAGACUCCUACGGGAGACAGCAGUGGGGGAUAUUGCACAAUGGGGGAAACCCUGAUGCAGCAACGCCGCGUGAGGGAAGAAGGUCUUCGGAUUGUAAACCUAAGUUGUCAGGGACGAAUACAUGACGGUACCUGAAAAGAAAGCUCCGGCUAACUACGUG
rnacentral:rRNA from 1 species